AUGCAAUCUGUGGCCAUAUAUAGUGCUUACUGCUUUAUAUUUAAAUCGGCCAUAAUAGAAGAUGCGAGGCUCAGCUGCCAGGUUUGUGGCCCGAGGGCCUGGCAGGGAGCCUGUUCCUUUCAAACCUGUCAAAGGUCUGGCACUCACCGAUCAGAUAACAGACAGAAAGGACCGAUAUGGAGCUUUGGCAUGUGUUCAGGAAAUGCAAGCUAUGUUCGCUUGCUGGAAGAAAUACGACCACAAUGAAAUUAAGUGCAGCAAAGAGCUUCAGGCCUUUGAAAAUUGUCAUCAAACAUAUUUGAAAGAGCGAGAUGCUUACAUGAAGAGGUCUACAUCAUCAGAAGGUGUUCUGGGACAUGGAUCCGGCCGAAAGCUAACCGCGCGGCAAGCGAACGUGCUACUGAAACAGUACCCCAAUCCGAGGUAGCGGACAUGACUGCAACGGAGCCGGUGCUUGUUUAGCGAGUCAGCGAUCACAACUAGUGAUGCUGUCGAGAGAUAUGACUCAACGCCGCGGACGUCAGCUUUUGCAACUUGUUUGCAACUUUGGUGACCUGCGACUUUUGUGUGAAUCUGAGCAUCGGUAUUGUGUAUUAUUGCAGUGUUGAUCAGUGCGAAUGUAUUCUCGUUUUUGGUGUCCUGGGCUUGACCUGUUACCAUUUGUGAAAUACAAUACUAUGUAGCAAUGA
rnacentral:misc_RNA from 1 species